rnacentral:rRNA from 1 species
UACAGAGGUCUCAAGCGUUGUUCGGAUUCAUUGGGCGUAAAGGGUGCGUAGGCGGCGCGGUAAGUCGGGUGUGAAAUCUCGGAGCUUAACUCCGAAACUGCAUUCGAUACUGCCGUGCUUGAGGACUGGAGAGGAGACUGGAAUUUACGGUGUAGCGGUGAAAUGCGUAGAUAUCGGAAGGAACAUCAGUGGCGAAAGCGGCUUCCUGGUCCAGCACCGACGUUCAGGCACGAAAGCGUGGGGAGCAAACAGG